UAGGAAAUUGGUCAUGGAGGGACUCUGAACCAGCCUGCCGCGUGCAGGAAGACUGCCCUAUGGGUUGUAAACUGCUUUUAUCCGGGAAUAAACCUACUUACGUGUAAGUAGCUGAAUGUACCGGAAGAAUAAGGAUCGGCUAACUCCGUGCCAGCAGCCGCGGUAAUAUAAUA
rnacentral:rRNA from 1 species